UAAUUUAUGUAAUUUAACAAAACUGAACAUUUGUAAAAGAACUGUAAAUUGUUCACGUCAUAGUUAAAAGCUGUUUAAAAUGUGUGUUUUUAGCACUAGCUUGCUAGCUAUUGUGUUCAGUCUGUAUGAAAGUUACUAAUAAAAGACAAAAUACAUAAACACUGCAUUUUAUAUUUCUAUACUAAACACAACUGCGUAUUUCGCUACAUAUAAUCCUUGUUUGUUUUUUCAAAUAUGUAGAUUUUUAGAACUUUUUAGAAGUCAAAUAUCAGUGAAAACACAUUAUUAUUUUUGCGGUGUAUCUAUAAUCUUAAAACAGAGCGAUCAGGUACGGCUCAAUAUUAAAGACUUAUUCCUGAUUGUGCACAUUUAUAAAUGGUAGAAAGAUGUGAAUUCUCUCUGGUGGUGAAUCCAAGAAGUGAAAUCUGAUUAACUGAAGAAAAAAAGGCUGAUGAUGAAGAUGUCUCACCUAACCGGCAGAUGUUUAUGGCAGUUUUGGGAGAAAUAUUUAAAAAGAUGGACAGAUUUAGCAGCGUUCUCUGCUCUGAACCAGUUGACCUCCCUCAGUCUCUGGCUGAGCCAAUCAGAAGGAGAAGGUGAGGACUAGGUGUAAACAGAGAAUCUCUGGCCGUUUGAAGCCGACCAGGAGGUCACGUUCACAUCCCCGGCCACUUCCACCCUGUUUCCUGCAUUGAUUGGGAAUGUUUAUCACAUUAGGCUGAGGUCAAGGAGGGGGUCAGGGCAGAGCGGGGCGGUGAGCUGCCAUCAUGCAGGCUGAUAAUGACACUGUCCAGACUGGAACUGUUGAGCAGGAUUUAGUGGAUUUCACUGCUCUGUUUGUGAUUAAUCGGGGCUGAAGGAAGGUGGAAGGUUAGAAGAACCAGCAGAUGAAGAAAAGAAACAAGAAGCUUCUACUAAGUUCUGUCCAAACAGUUCCUGACUCCCACCUGUUGCUGUCCUCAGUCCAACGUUAACCUGAAGUCCUCCAACUGCUCCCAGUAAUCUGAAGCAUCAGGCUGGUCUCAGAUCAGCAUGAAGCUUUCUUCUCCAGACACAGUCCUAGUUCAGGGCCUUUCCCUGUGACCCAGGCCUCGCCUUGGCUUAGCCCGGGGCACAAAGACAUCCCUUUCAUGAAUGGCAGGACUGGGACCUCCCCUGCCUCCCCAUUUGACCCCCUUGUUGCCCUAAUUGUGUGUAAUGCCAGGGCCAUGCCCCACCCAACCCUAGCAGGCCCCCGGGCUUCCACAACGAGGCCCGGCGGCUACAGAGGCCAAUUAUUUCCUUAUUGUUGACACAGACAACCUAACAGUCCCCCUCCCACAUAACUCCUGUCCUCCCAUCUACUCCCGUGUUCUCCCCAUUUCCUCAUCUUUUUCAGGACCACCUUGGUGUUUGCAAGGACUAAUGCACAGUUUUUUUCACGCUGUGUUGGCAGGAUCCUCUCUGCAUACCAGCAGAGAGACCUAUGAACAAAGCUGAGGCUCGGCCGUGACAGCAGAGUGCGAGGAGGUCGGAGGUCGCCUGCCGGGGAGACCAAGUCAUUUGUUUACUUGUUGACCUAGAAGACUUUAGCAGAAAAUAGUGUUGUUGUUCUUGUUAAUUCUGCUUAAACUGAAAAAUCUAAAUCAAUCAUAAAAGCACAAAGAGACCAAAACUACCACAGAGUGUCUGGUGUCCUGCUGCCAGGAAGAGAGACGACAGACCAGGUGAUCACAACCUGUAUGGAAUGAAAUAACUAAUAUUUAGUGCACUUUCAAAUAAUGAUUGUUGCUAAAAAAAAAUGAAACAACAACAGAGUUCUAAAUGUACAUGAUCUCUAAACCCUGUUUGAAUCUGUACACUUCUGAAGCCCAGUUUACACGACAACGUUUUAGGAUGAAACAGUUUUGUUGCGUCUUGGCCUCCCGUUGACACAGAAACGGUGUUUUAGACAACUGAAAACGAAAACUUUUAAAUAUGGCCUCCAGCCGCCGUCGCUGUGUGGACGAGUAGUCAAAGUUUUCAGAGAGAACAUUGACGUCACACUCCACUUUGAGCAUUACACUUUUAUUCUAGUCGCCAUGUGAACCAGAUGACAACAGGAACAAUGGCGGACUACCAUGUUGGGCUCUACUGAAUUUAUUGAAUCUCCAGCAAAACGUGCAUUUGUUGCACCAUUACUGCAAUCAGCAAAGACGUAUUCAAAACAUAUUCCAGAUAAUCAGCCCACCUCCACAUUGGCUGUACUUCUUCUGGUCAGCGGUGGAAUAAAUAGUGGUCACGUGGGGUGUUCCUCUACAAAAUUACAUCACAGACUACCGGCCUGGCACAUAUACUACAACGUUUUCAGUCCUUCCAAUGUUCCAGUGGAAACGCAGAUUUUCUUCACUCAGUUUUCGUACAACGGGCUGCACAGUGGCUCAGUGGUUAGCACCGUCGCCAUGCAGCUAGAAGAUCCCUGGUUUGCGUCAUGGACUUCCUGGGAUCUUUGCAUGUUCUCCCUGUACAUGUGUGGGUUUUCUCCAGCUUCCUCCCACAGUCCAGAAACAUGCUGAGGUUAAUCAGUGAUUCUAAACUGUCCGUAGGUGUGAAUGUGAGUGUGAUUGUUUGUCUCUGUGUGUAGCCCUGUGAUAGACUGUUACCUGUCCAGGUGAACCUGUGAUAGACUGUUACCUGUCCAGGUGAACCUGUGAUAGACUGUUACCUGUCCAGGUGAACCUGUGAUAGACUGUUACCUGUCCAGGUGAACCUGUGAUAGACUGUUACCUGUCCAGGUGAACCUGUGAUAGACUGUUACCUGUCCAGGUGAACCUGUGAUAGACUGUUACCUGUCCAGGUGAACCUGUGAUAGACUGUUACCUGUCCAGGUGAACCUGUGAUAGAAUGUUACCUGUCCAGGUGAACCUGUGAUAGACUGUUACCUGUCCAGGUGAACCUCUGAUAGACUGUUACCUGUCCAGGUGAACCUGUGAUAGACUGUUACCUGUCCAGGUGAACCUGUGAUAGACUGUUACCUGUCCAGGUGAACCUGUGAUAGACUGUUACCUGUCCAGGUGAACCUGUGAUAGACUGUUACCUGUCCAGGUGAACCUGUGAUAGACUGUUACCUGUCCAGGUGAACCUCUGAUAGACUGUUACCUGUCCAGGUGAACCUGUGAUAGACUGUUACCUGUCCAGGUGAACCUGUGAUAGACUGUUACCUGUCCAGGUGAACCUGUGAUAGACUGUUACCUGUCCAGGUGAACCUGUGAUAGACUGUUACCUGUCCAGGUGAACCUGUGAUAGACUGUUACCUGUCCAGGUGAACCUGUGAUAGAAUGUUACCUGUCCAGGUGAACCUCUGAUAGACUGUUACCUGUCCAGGUGAACCUCUGAUAGACUGUUACCUGUCCAGGUGAACCUGUGAUAGACUGUUACCUGUCCAGGUGAACCUUCACUCUAAGUCAGCUGGGACAGACUCCAGCUCCCUGUAACCCUAAUGAGGAUUAAGUGGUGUAGAUGAUGGAUGGAUGUCAUGUAAAUCCAACGAGGCAGAGGAAAUUGAAUUGAACUGAAAUACUUUUGUGUUUUCGGGUGAAACGUUGUCGUGUAAAUGGGGCCUGAGCGUGUCAUGAUAUGUGUAGAUGUAACUGCAUGUCUUUGGAUUCAUUCAUACGUAUUUAAACUUCCUUCCAGGUAGGCAGCAGCGAGGUUCCACCUUCACAAUUAACAGCUGCGAUCACACUUUAGUCCUGUCCCUCUUCAGCAUGCCUUCCUCUCUAGGCUCUGUGGCUGAGCUGGAUGGUAUUUGGAGCACAGUGCAUUUUAACAAAGCUGCCUUUAUGUGGAGCCACUGACUGUGGUUUGAAGCCAUAACUACCACUGCUGUCAGACCAAGAUGGAGUGUGUGUGUAUGUGUGUGUGUGUGUGUGUGUGUGUGUGUGUGUGUGUGUUUGGCAUUCGGUAGUAGAUCUGAUUUGAUCUUUCUCUGUUCACAGGCCUAAAAUGUUCCCUUCACUUCUCAGUGUCCACACAAAAUCCAGUAGGUGACAGUUAUUGUUCUGCAGGGAUACAAGUCCCACCAGGUGUGUGUGAUGAGUGUGACAGCCUCAUGAUUUAGCACCGCAGGUCUGUGCUUUUUAACGAGUCAGAGGAGCCUCUGCAGACGGACGGAUAAGUUGGACCCGUGGGAGCCAUCCAGGCUCCUAUAGAGGUCCCUGGGCCACCCGACUCCGCCCCAGAGACAGUUCUGCGACCGGGGUGUCGGUCCAGGGUGGUGUGGGGUGGGUCGGUCUGCGGUGUGACGAAUGGGACACCUGAGCCAAACUGUAACACCGCCAGCGUGGUGGGUCCCCCUAAUCACUCUGGCUGCCCAACUUCCAGCUUCGGGUUUCAGAUUCCAGGGGGUGUGAUGGUGGAGCUCCGGCCCAGUGGGGCUGAGGUGUCUGGUUUGCUUUAACAACAAACAUUUACAGACACUCCUGCACAUACCACUCAGAGCUCUGCAAUACUCAAACGCAAACUCAAAAACAGACAGAUGAGCAAAUUAACACAUUCCUUCACACAACACACGUCUCAGGAUCAAAGUUUACUAGUCUAGGUCUCGCCCAGCAGAUGGUAGAUAACUGGAAUUUUCUGAAAUCUGAUCACUUAUAUGCUAGUCAAUGCCCUCUCAAUAAAGUGAAAUGUAUAAUAUGCCAGCUGUUCCUCCCCAUUCAACGUUCUGUCCAGGCCACUUUAAAGCUCCCACGCAAUAACAAGUUUUAGGAAGUUGUAUUAUUAGUCCCUUACGCACACAGUGUUCUCAUGAUCAAAUAAACUUUGGCAGAAUAUGAAAUAACCUGUGAAUAAACACUUCUCUAAAUUUGUCAUUGACAGUUAAAGUUGGCCUACUUUGUGGUUUAACGGGGGGUUCGAAUAUAAGAGAGCAAAACCCGAUGCUCGGUGAUACACUGCUCUGUUGACAUGGCAGACUAUCAGUUUACCAUGUUAAUUGAACAUCUAAUAGCGAGCGCUGAGCAGAUGGCCUGAGGUGAAACAUGUCCUCCGGCCCCCUCUCUUUGGGUUUUAUUUCUGGAUCAGCUGGAGGAGGUGGGGUGGGACGGGGGCAGAGGAUGAUCUGCAUGCCCAGGACUGAAGCCUCCCUAUUUGGGCACAUGAGACCCACUCCUCCCCUCAUCUUUGCCGACAUCCACCACGGCCAAAUUUAGGUGAGGGGAAAACGACGCAGAGAGAUAUUUCAGUAAACUGUGUGUCAAUAGUGAAGCGUGCCAAACCAAACUCCCUUUGCACUUGUUUCUCUACUUAAUCGCUCAUCUAAACAAGCUUGAGGGUUGGUGGGAAAGGAGGAAGAAGGGCAAGGGGGCGGGAGGUGGAAAGGUGAGGAGGCAAGGAAGGGGGAGUGGAUGGGGUCUGCCAAAAUAAAUGCAUGAAUGCUGUCUUUGACUGACUGGCAUCUUUGAAGUGAGCUAUAAUUGCAGGCCUCUUGUCCAGCGGUGGAGCCUGUGGCAAGCCGGGCCUCGGCCAAACUGAGAUGUUUGGCUGCAGCUCAGAGGAAACGUCAUGGCUCAACAAUAAACAAUAUCAAGAGGCUUCGAUUCAGCCUGAUGUCGUGUCACGCUUUAGUGGAGCUGCACAGACAGAAAUCAGUCACUGCUUUGUUCGUUUGCUGGAACUCUGAGAAAUGCAGCCGUUUGUGACUCGACAUGCAGAACCCUGACAGGACCAGAGAGAUGAAGAUGAUGAUGAGGAUUCUCACAAAGCUCCUUUCACAGCAGCACACAUCCAGCCAUUAGCUUGUCUUUCUAUGUCCGUCGCAGCUCACUGCCGCUCCAUCACACGCACUAACGUCAUACCUCCGGAACGGCCAUCUUUUUGGUGAAAAGAAAUAUGGCAGCUACACCUUUGGCCCCGUCUCAUUUAUCCUGAAACUGUCAGCUGAAACUCCAAACUACAGUGCACAGUACAUGUAGCGUUUUAAAACUGAACACGUCUCCAGUGGGGUCCGGAGUCUGCCUCAGCAGACUUUGCUCAGAGCAGGUCAACAGGUUGCUUCAGUGUAGACACCAGCUUUUUCCACUUCCUUGCUCCUCAGGCUCGAGUCAAGUCCGGCAAAAUUUGAAGGUGGACUGGAGGCGGUGUAACAGACCGGAUUAACCCCCCAGGGGCUGGAAUGACCUGUCCAAGAAUACGCCUCUCCAGGCCAAAAUAUACCACAUGUAAAACAAGAUUACAUCACGGAUUUAGGCAACAAUACAAAGAGACAGUACGUUGAUGUAAGGACUGACCUUUGGAGCACAGAUCAAGUCAGUCAAAGACAAUACAAAGAGAUAUUAAACUGAAAUUUGUUAAACAGAAACAACUGAAGUUAACACCAGUCAGUGUGGAUGUUCUUUCAUAGUGUUUUGCGUACAUUUCUCUUGUUUUUCAAUUCAGUUUUUCCUUUGAUUUGAACUUUUUCAAUUGUAAUUAGCUCAACAAUGUUCUAGUAAUGUUCUUUCAUAAUGAUUUGCUUGCUGAGAAUACCUCUGUAAAUAAAUAACUUAACAAUUAAGAGUU